rnacentral:rRNA from 1 species
GACGGAGGGCGCGAGCGUUGUUCGGAAUUACUGGGCGUAAAGCGCGCGCAGGCGGGCGUGUAAGUCGGGGGUGAAAUUUCAGGGCUCAACCCUGGAACUGCUUUCGAUACUGCACGUCUAGGGACCGGUAGAGGUCGGUGGAAUUCCCGGUGUAGCGGUGGAAUGCGUAGAGAUCGGGAAGAACACCCGUGGCGAAGGCGGCCGACUGGGCCGGAUCCGACGCUGAGGCGCGAAAGCGUGGGGAGCAAACAGG